AGGCGCCGCUUUCGGCACCAUGGCGGCCGCCUUGCUGCUGCUUCGCGGGCUCCGCCCCGGCCCGGAGCCCCGGCCCCGACGGCUGUGGGGCCUGCUCUCAGGCAGGGGCCCAGGCCUCUCGUCCGGGGCUGGGGCCAGGCGGCCGUACGCGGCCCGCGGGACUCCGGUUGGCCCGGCUGCGGCUGGAGGCCACGCGCCUCAGAGUUUGCUAUUGCGAAUACUGACCCCUAGCUUUGAAGGUAUUAGCGGAUUGUUACUGAAACAGCAUAUAGUUCCAAAUGCAGUCAGACUGUGGCCGCUUUCAGGUAGCACUUUGUAUUUUAACACCUCAAGGAUGAAGCAGAAGAAUAAAGACAAUGAUAAACCCAAAGGCAAGACCCCUGAAGAUGAUGAAGAAGAGAAGAGACGAAAAGAGCGGGAAGACCAGAUGUACCGAGAGAGGCUGCGCACCCUGUUCAUCAUUGCUCUUGUCAUGAGCCUGCUGAACUCCCUCAGUACAAGUGGGGGCAGUAUUUCCUGGGCUGACUUUGUCAACGAGAUGCUGGCUAAAGGCGAGGUGCAGCGUGUGCAGGUGGUGCCCGAGAGUGAUGUGGUGGAAGUCUAUCUGCAUCCUGGAGCUGUGGUGUUUGGGCGGCCUCGGCUGGCCCUGAUGUAUCGGAUGCAGGUUGCAAACAUCGACAAAUUUGAAGAGAAGCUUCGAGCAGCCGAAGAUGAACUGAACAUUGAGAGCAAGGACAGGAUUCCCGUGUCCUACAAGCGGACAGGAUUCUUUGGGAAUGCCCUCUACGCCCUGGGGAUGACAGCCGUGGGCUUGGCCAUCCUGUGGUAUGUUUUCAGACUGGCGGGGAUGACCGGAAGGGAAGGCGGAUUCAGUGCUUUUAAUCAGCUUAAGAUGGCACGUUUCACCAUUGUGGACGGGAAGACAGGGAAAGGAGUCAGCUUCCAAGAUGUGGCAGGAAUGCAUGAAGCCAAGCUGGAAGUCCGAGAAUUUGUGGAUUAUCUGAAGAGCCCAGAGCGUUUCCUUCAGCUCGGUGCCAAGGUUCCAAAGGGUGCCCUGUUGCUGGGGCCCCCUGGCUGUGGGAAGACGCUGUUGGCCAAGGCAGUAGCCACGGAGGCUCAGGUGCCCUUUUUAGCAAUGGCUGGCCCAGAGUUUGUGGAGGUGAUUGGAGGCCUGGGAGCUGCCCGAGUGCGAAGCCUCUUCAAGGAGGCACGAGCCAGGGCCCCUUGCAUAGUGUACAUUGAUGAGAUCGAUGCUGUGGGAAAGAAGCGCUCCACCUCCAUGUCUGGGUUCUCCAACACGGAAGAGGAGCAGACCCUCAACCAGCUCCUGGUGGAGAUGGACGGAAUGGGCACCACAGACCAUGUCAUCGUCUUGGCAUCCACCAAUCGAGCUGAUGUUCUGGACAAUGCUCUGAUGAGGCCUGGGCGGCUCGACAGGCAUGUCUUCAUUGAUCUUCCCACGCUCCAGGAGAGGCGGGAGAUUUUCGAGCAGCACCUGAAAGGCCUGAAGUUGACCCAGCCCAGCAGUUUUUACUCCCAGCGGCUGGCAGAGCUGACACCUGGAUUCAGUGGGCAGAGCCAGCAGCACUCCCCAUCCCUGCCUGUGGUUUGUGUUGACAGGCGCCGACAUCGCCAACAUCUGCAACGAGGCCGCUCUGCACGCUGCACGCGAGGGGCACACGUCCGUGCACACGUUCAACUUUGAGUAUGCCGUGGAGCGCGUCAUUGCUGGUACUGCUAAAAAGAGUAAGAUCCUCUCCAAGGAGGAGCAGAGAGUGGUCGCCUUCCAUGAGUCUGGCCAUGCCUUGGUUGGUUGGCUGCUGGAGCACACAGAGGCUGUGAUGAAGGUCUCCAUCGCACCUCGGACAAACGCUGCUUUGGGCUUCUCUCAGAUGCUCCCUCGGGACCAGUACCUCUUCACCAAGGAGCAGCUGUUUGAGCGCAUGUGCAUGGCCCUAGGUGGCCGUGCAGCUGAAGCCAUCUCAUUCAGCAGGGUCACCUCUGGGGCCCAGGAUGAUUUGAGGAAGGUUACCCGCAUUGCUUACUCCAUGGUGAAACAGUUCGGGAUGGCUCCCAGCAUUGGGCCUGUAUCCUUCCCCGAGGCACAAGAGGGCCUCAUGGGCAUUGGACGUCGUCCCUUCAGCCAGGGCCUCCAGCAGAUGAUGGACCAUGAAGCAAAGCUGCUGGUGGCCAAAGCCUACAGACACACCGAGAAGGUGCUGCUAGACAACCUGGACAAGCUGCAGGCGUUGGCGAAUGCCCUUCUGGAAAAGGAAGUGAUAAACUAUGAGGACAUUGAGGCGCUCAUUGGCCCGCCGCCCCAUGGGCCAAAGAAAAUGAUUGCACCACAGAAAUGGAUUGAUGCUGAAAAGGAGAGACAGGCCUCAGGGGAGGAGGAGGCUCCGGCUCCCUAGCCCCCCUCCAAGGCCCAGAGAAUGGCUUUCCUCCACGCACCUGCGGUUAUCACAGAACUCGCUCCUCAGUAGCUGCCAUCUGCCUCUGAGAUUCUCUUCACCUGAACUUGAACCUCAGCCUGUCAGUGCUCUGAUUUCUGAUGAAGACUUCUGAUACCUAUUUAUUGAUUUAUGAUUAGUAAAUUGUUUGCAGAGAAUUUGA